CACGUAGGGUGCGAGCGUUGUCCGGAAUUAUUGGGCGUAAAGAGCGCGUAGGCGGUGUGUCGCGUCGGCCGUGAAAACCUGCAGCUUAACUGUGGGCUUGCGGUCGAUACGGGCAUCACUGGAGUUCGGCAGGGGAGACUGGAAUUCCUGGUGUAGCGGUGAAAUGCGCAGAUAUCAGGAGGAACACCGGUGGCGAAGGCGGGUCUCUGGGCCGAUACUGACGCUGAGGAGCGAAAGCGUGGGGAGCGAACAGG
rnacentral:rRNA from 1 species